rnacentral:rRNA from 1 species
UACGUAGGGCGCAAGCGUUAUCCGGAAUUAUUGGGCGUAAAGAGCUCGUAGGCGGUUUGUCGCGUCUGCCGUGAAAGUCCGGGGCUCAACUCCGGAUCUGCAGGUGGGUACGGGCAGACUAGAGUGUGGUAGGGGAGACUGGAAUUCCUGGUGUAGCGGUGGAAUGCGCAGAUAUCAGGAGGAACACCGAUGGCGAAGGCAGGUCUCUGGGCCAUUACUGACACUGAGAAGCGAAAGCAUGGGGAGCGAACAGG